UGGAAGGGACCACUGCCUUUAUUGCCUCUGUGCUGGGGUCCCAGCCUGGGGUUCAGAGCCUAGUGGCCUGGGAGGGCGACGGGGCACCCAGCUCAGGCCCAGCCUCGGAGGCAAGGUUUGAGGGUUGGGGGGUCCCUGAGCAUCAGCCCUGCUUCUGCCGCUGGCUGAGGAGGAGCAGAAGCCUGGUCCCAAGACAGCAGGAAGAAAGCAGGACCCUCGCUAGGCGGCCAGAUGGCCUGAGGCCCACCCAGACAGGGACGGGACCUGCCCUGGGUCGCUCAGCCAGGCAGGGACAGCAGGGACCAGAAUCCAGGUCUCCUGAGCCAGGCAGAAGCCAAAGUAGCU
rnacentral:lncRNA from 1 species